rfam:Lactobacillus fructivorans strain DmCS_002 contig10, whole genome shotgun sequence.
CCACAGCUACAACCGCUCAGUAUGAGUUUUUAAGUCCAUUAGGCACUUAAUACUGGCGAGUCUAAGCAAAUUA